UCCGACUGUUUACUAAAAACACAGGUGGCUGCUAGUCCGUAAGGAUGAGUAUAGCCGCUGAAUCCUGCCCAGUGGUGGUAUCUGAAACCCAGUUUCAACUGGACGAAGGACCACUAAACGGCGGGGGUAACUAUGACCCUCUUAAGGUAGCGUAAUACCUUGUCGCUUAAUUGGCGACUUGCACGAACGGCCUAACGAGAGCUCUACUGUCCCCGCCCGGAGCCCGAUGAAAUUGACUUACUGGCGCACAGUCCAGUACGUCCCAGCCGCAAGCGAAGACCCCGUGGAGCUUUACUGCAACCUGCCGUUGUGGCACGAGUUGUUAUGUGUAGCGUAGACGGGAGACAUUACACAGGUGCGAGCGCUAGCUCGUCGCCGAGUCACCGAUGAAACACCGUCCUUUUCGAUUCGUCCCACUCACCUCUUCGGAGGGAACCCCGGUAGGCGGGCAGUUUGGGUGGGGCGCCACUCCCUCGAAAAAAUAACAAGGGAGCCCAAAGGUCAGCUUAGGUAGGUCAGGAAUCUACCGUUAAGUGCAAGGGCAAAAGCUGGCUUGACGUGGUUUGGCAACACAACAAACCACGAUGCGAAAGCAGGGCCUAGCGAACCAACCAGCGCCGUUAGUAGGUGCGGUUGAUAACAGAAAAGUUACCCCGGGGAUAACUGAGUUGUCUGGAGCAAGAGCCCACAUCGACCUCCAGGCUUGCUACUUCGAUGUCGUCUCUUCCUAUCCUGGGUGUGCAGAAGCACCCAAGGGUGGGGUUGUUCGCCCAUUAAAAGGGAUCGUGAGAUGGGUUUAGACCGUCGUGAGACAGGUUUGUUGCUAUGUGCUGGGACUGUCCAAUGCCUGAGGGGAAGGAUCCUCUAGUACGAGAGGAACGAGGGUUCGCAGCCACUAGUUUACCAGUUGUCUGACAAGGCACUGCUGGGCAGCCACGCUGUAAGGGAUAAGAGCUGAAAGCAUCUAAGCUCGAAACCCGCCUCAAAACGAGGCAUUUUGACACUUAUAGAAGAUAAGAUUGAUAGGACCGGGGUGUAAGCACCGAGAGCAUCAGUGCUACUGGAAACACUACUUCGGUGGUGCGGAAGGUAGUAC
rnacentral:rRNA from 1 species